rnacentral:rRNA from 1 species
UGAGGAAUAUUGGUCAAUGGGCGAGAGCCUGAACCAGCCAAGUAGCGUGCAGGAUGACGGCCCUAUGGGUUGUAAACUGCUUUUAUAAGGGAAUAAAGUGAGAGUCGUGACUCUUUUUGCAUGUACCUUAUGAAUAAGGACCGGCUAAUUCCGUGCCAGCAGCCGCGGUAAUACGGAAGGUCCGGGCGUUAUCCGGAUUUAUUGGGUUUAAAGGGAGCGUAGGCCGGAGAUUAAGCGUGUUGUGAAAUGUAGACGCUCAACGUCUGCACUGCAGCGCGAACUGGUUUCCUUGAGUACGCACAAAGUGGGCGGAAUUCGUGGUGUAGCGGUGAAAUGCUUAGAUAUCACGAAGAACUCCGAUUGCGAAGGCAGCUCACUGGAGCGCAACUGACGCUGAAGCUCGAAAGUGCGGGUAUCGAACAGGAUUAGAUACCCUGGUAGUCCGCACGGUAAACGAUGGAUGCCCGCUGUUGGUCUGAACAGGUCAGCGGCCAAGCGAAAGCAUUAAGCAUCCCACCUGGGGAGUACGCCGGCAACGGUGAAACUCAAAGGAAUUGACGGGGGCCCGCACAAGCGGAGGAACAUGUGGUUUAAUUCGAUGAUACGCGAGGAACCUUACCCGGGCUUGAAUUGCAGAGGAAGGAUUUGGAGACAAUGACGCCCUUCGGGGCCUCUGUGAAGGUGCUGCAUGGUUGUCGUCAGCUCGUGCCGUGAGGUGUCGGCUUAAGUGCCAUAACGAGCGCAACCCCUCUCCUUAGUUGCCAUCAGGUUAAGCUGGGCACUCUGGGGACACUGCCACCGUAAGGUGUGAGGAAGGUGGGGAUGACGUCAAAUCAGCACGGCCCUUACGUCCGGGGCUACACACGUGUUACAAUGGCAGGUACAGAGAGACGGUCCCUUGCAAAAUGGAUCAAAUCCUUAAAGCCUGUCUCAGUUCGGACUGGGGUCUGCAACCCGACCCCACGAAGCUGGAUUCGCUAGUAAUCGCGCAUCAGCCAUGGCGCGGUGAAUACGUUCCC